AUCCCUGUGGCUCAGUUGGUAGAGCAUGGUGUUUGCAACGCCAGGGUUGUGGGUUCGAUUCCCAUGGGGGGUC
rnacentral:tRNA from 1 species